GGACGAACGCUGGCGGCGUGCUUAACACAUGCAAGUCGAGCGGUAAGGCCCUUUCGGGGGUACACGAGCGGCGAACGGGUGAGUAACACGUGGGUGACCUGCCCUUAGCUCUGGGAUAAGCCUGGGAAACUGGGUCUAAUACCGGAUAUGACUCCAUGACGCAUGUUGUGGGGUGGAAAGCCUUGUGCGGCUAGGGAUGGGCCCGCGGCCUAUCAGCUUGUUGGUGGGGUGAUGGCCUACCAAGGCGACGACGGGUAGCCGGCCUGAGAGGGCGACCGGCCACACUGGGACUGAGACACGGCCCAGACUCCUACGGGAGGCAGCAGUGGGGAAUCUUGCGCAAUGGGCGAAAGCCUGACGCAGCGACGCCGCGUGGGGAUGACGGCCUCGG
rnacentral:rRNA from 1 species